rnacentral:misc_RNA from 1 species
AAGUCGUAACAAGGUUUCCGUAGGUGAACCUGCGGAAGGAUCAUUAACGAGUUUUGAAAUGGGUUGUAGCUGGCCUUACGAAGGCAUGUGCACACCCUGCUCAUCCACUCUCAUACCCCUGUGCACCUAUUGUAGGCUUGGUGGGAAGACUGGUGUCACAACCAGUCGGAAAGCCUUGCCUAUGUUUUUAACACAAACGCUUCAGUUUUAGAAUGUCACAUUUGCGUCUAACGCAUGAAAUACAACUUUCAGCAACGGAUCUCUUGGCUCUC